rnacentral:rRNA from 1 species
UGAUCAGCCAGCCGCGUGUGUGAAGAAGGUCUUCGGAUUGUAAAGCACUUUAAGUUGGGAGGAAGGGUUGUAGAUUAAUACUCUGCGAUUUUGACGUUACCGACAGAAUAAGCACCGGCUAACUCUGUGCCAGCAGCCGCGGUAAUACGA